AUUAAAGAACGUACUGUUUUAGGAACAGUCUGUAGUUGAAAUUUGGAAGUUGAAAAGAAACGUCAGAAUUCCGAGCAGAAUUUACGAGAUAAUAUAGGAGCUCAAAUUCGUCAAAAGAAGAAAAGAUUAACGACAUAAAUUAAACAACAUAGAAAAGAAUAAAGAAAAGGUGAGACUUUAAAACUUGUAAAUUAGAAAGUAUUAUUGGUAGUUUAUUUCAGCAUAUCC